UACAGGGGGUGCUAGCGUUGUUCGGAAUCACUGGGCGUAAAGGGCGCGUAGGCGGCUCAUGAAGGCUGUGGUGAAAGUCCGGGGCUCAACCUCGGAUCGGCCGUGGCGACUCGUGGGCUGGAGCACUGUAGAGGCGGGUGGAAUUCCGGGUGUAGCGGUGGAAUGCGUAGAGAUCCGGAAGAACACCAGUGGCGAAGGCGGCCCGCUGGGCAGUGGCUGACGCUGAAGCGCGACAGCGUGGGGAGCAAACAGG
rnacentral:rRNA from 1 species